rnacentral:rRNA from 1 species
GACGAACGCUGGCGGCGUGCUUAACACAUGCAAGUCGAACGGAAAGGCGCUGCUUUUGUGGGGCGCUCGAGUGGCGAACGGGUGAGUAACACGUGAGUAACCUGCGCUUGACUUUGGGAUAACUUCAGGAAACUGGGGCUAAUACCGGAUAGGAGCUCCUGAUGCGUGGUGGGGGUUGGAAAGUUUCGGCGGUUGGGGAUGGACUCGCGGCUUAUCAGCUUGUUGGUGGGGUAGUGGCUGACCAAGGCAGUGAAGGGUAGCCGGCCUGAGAGGGUGACCGGCCACAUUGGGACUGAGGGACGGCCCAGACUCCUACGGGAGGCAGCAGGGGGGAAUAUGGCACAAUGGGCGGAAGCCUGAUGCAGCAACGCCGCGUGCGGGAUGACGGCCUUCGGGUUGUAAACCGCUUUCGCCUGUGACGAAGCGUGAGUGACGGUAAUGGGUAAAGAAGCACCGGCUAACUACGUG